UCAUUUUCACAAAUCCAUUAUCAACUUUUGCACGCAUGCAAAAAAAAACCCAUUUUCAGUAAACUCAUUUUCAAUUUUUUUUUCAACUCUGCAGUUUGAUUUCACGAAACUCAUAGCGAGAUUAAAGUUUGAUUUUACGAAACCCAUUUUCACGAAGUUUGCAGAAGAUUGCAAAACCCGUCACCGUUUCCUUCACUCUCAUUUCGAAAUUCGAACACUGAAACUCUUAUUUUAGGGUUCUUGUUGAGGGUAAGUCAUGGUGGCAAUUUUGUUCACUGCAAUUGGGGAAGUUGAGGGACAAAUUGAGUCGUGUUACGAUGAGAAAUUACCGGGAUCGGGAGAAAAAGAGAAACACAACGCUUCUGGAUUGAGUGGGUCUUUUCCUUUGCUUCUCUAAUAGUCAUAAGAUGUAGUGGUGACUUAUUUUUUCGAAUGAUGAGCUUUGUCCUCUUAACAUUUGUGGUCCAUCUUAAGGAGGAUAGUCGAAAAGUUACUAUAGUAGAAAAGGAUAACAAUUUUGACGUGUGUAGGGAUAUGAGUGGGCGGAGAUUGAGACAUGCUAAUGCUGACAAGAGGUUGGAGGAAUGGAGAGAUGGUGAUGGUGAGGAGGAUAGGAAGCUUGAGAAGGUUGAUGAGGAUUUUCUGAAGAAACAUAUUAAGAAAUUGAAGAUAUGGCAGUGGUUAACAAAAUAAGAUAGUGUAUGUUUGGUUGUAGUUACGGAGAAACUGAUUUUAUCUCCGUUCGUACUCUUCACCGCCGGUUGAACGGAUGACAAGGAUGAAGAGAAUGAACAACAGCAAGACCAAUUACCUGAAGAAUUUAUCUUUGAUGCUGAAGGGGGUUUGGUGGAUGAAAAACUUCUCUUCUUUGCCCAACAAGCACAGAGACGCGGUGGGAAGGCUGGAAGGGCAAAAAAUGUCAUAUUUUCAGAGGACAGAGGCCGAUACAUCAAGCCCAUGCUUCCAAAGGUAUCUAUAAUUCCAUUUCGUGGAGAUUCUGCUGAAGUUCUCCUGCCACCUUCUAGAUCAAUUGCAAUGGCAAGGAAACGUCUUGAAAGACUGCCAUGUGGUGGAGGGUCGCCACUUGCACAUGGUCUUACCACAGCUGUUACGGUCGGAUUAAAUGCAGAGAAAAGUGGUGAUGUUGGACGUAUAAUGAUUGUUGCAAUCACGGAUGGUCGAGCCAACAUAUCAUUGAAAAGGUCAAAUGACCCUGAAGCUGCUGCUGCUAGUGAUGCCCCUAAACCUACAUCGCAAGAAUUGAAGGAUGAAAUUAUUGAGGUGGCUGCAAAGAUAUAUAAAACAGGAAUGUCUCUCCUUGUCAUUGACACUGAAAACAAGUUUGUCUCAACGGGUUUCGCUAAAGAGAUUGCUAGAGUUGCUCAAGGGAAGUAUUAUUAUUUGCCAAAUGCUUCGGACGCAGUUGUCUCGAUGGCAACAAGGGAAGCUUUAGCAGCUCUGAAGAGUUCAUGAAACUGAAUGAGAAGCAACCAAGGUUAAUUCUGAUAGCAAACAAACAACAUCAUAAACUUCAUUCUAAAACAUAAGACACUACAUCAUAAAUCAGAUAAAAUAGUUGAAAUUUUCUCUAUAUCUUUAAGCCACAUUUCUCUGGGUGUUGUUUUCUGCGUCGUCUCAAGAAGUUUUUCCUUUUUUUUUCUUUCACUCUCCAUCCUCUGCAGGCUAUCAAUAUCAUCGUAGAAAGUGUUAAUAGGCAUAGAUAGAAGAUAGUUGUAAUCAUCACCGAGAAUAGGUUCUUUUGGGUUCUCUCCCAAUAAUUCUUCCUUUUCCAAUAAUUGUUCUUUUGGCUUCUCUUCCAAUAAUUUUUCCUUUUCCAAUAAUGGUUCUUUUGGCUUCUCUUCCGAUAAUUUUUUCUUGAACAAUUCUACUGCUGUCUUAAUAUCCCGAGACGGUUGCCACAAUUUUAUAAACUUGAUUUUGUGGUCCAGACUCUCCAUAUCACGUUUAAGUUGGUCCACCAUAGAAGUCUGCAUGGACAAGUUGAUUCAAUUCAUAUUAGUUUCGAGUACUAGGUAAAUUGAAGGUAAGAAGGAUGUUGAUGGCUAUUCGAUUAGUGAGGGGAAGCAUCCUAGAAAAUCUAGUAUCUCUGCUUAUGGUUCCAACGAGAAACAAGUUUGGGUCCAAAAAGCAAGUUCUGGGACCUAGAGUAUUUAGAUUGGUGAGACACAUUCCUUUCAUCUUGCCUAUAUAGUCUAGUGAUGUAGCUGCAUAUGAUAUAUGAUAUGGUUUUUUCUUUUUCUUUUUUCUUGUGGGCAGUGCCCAUUACAUUGAUUCCUUGCUGUGGAAGUUGUUAUAGUAUUUCAAUAAUUGAAUUAUCUUUACCAAGUCCGUUUCAUUCACAUGCUCAUGUAAAUGUUAGCUUAAUUUACUAUUCAUGUAAUUACUUGUGCCAAAGUUGACGAUUUUCCCUUGCAGUACUAAGCUUGCUGACAUACAAUUUUGGAGCACGCAUACAUUUGCUAGCCGCUGGAUUCUGUUUCUUAAAUCUAAAAUACAGAAGAUUCAGUAUUAUAGUACUAUUCUUUUUGUUGUGUUCAAAUUUCUUAUGAAAAUUUCAUCUGCAGCAGAUGCAAUAAUUUAUUUACUGAUAGUAAAACCUAAAAGAUCUUUUUGUUGUUCCGUAUUAUGCAGACAUUCUUGGAGCCAUUUUGCCUUGUAUAUCAGAUAAAGAAGAGAAAAUUAGAGUUGGACAGAAGCUCUCUUUGCCGACUUAGCCAAUUUUCCAGUCUCGUCGGUACAGAUUGCAUUUACUCUUCUUGUGUUUCCUUGCCUUCUUUUAGCGUAUUCUGGACAGGCGGCUUAUCUGGUGCAUAACUUGCAUCAUUCACAAGAUGUUUUUUAUCGCUCUAUUCCAG